GUCCCUGUCAGGUUUAAGAAACUCUCAAAUAUACCUAAUAAUUGAAUUGAUUUUUCAUACUUAUCAAUGGACAUUGAAGGUUGUUAAACAUUUUUUACACUUUGAACAUGUUCACAGGGCUGUUUGACAUUCUGUCAGUUGAUGUGCUAUAGUAGUCCCUCCUGAUCCACACUGGAUGCCUGAAAACAGGCCAUUAGUAAGUGAAGGAAGGGCUCCCUGCACACAAGCACAGUUACAGCGCCACAGAAGACCUGUUAGCUACCCAUUGCCUACCCAAGGAGAGAGAUUUCACCAUGCUGCUCAGGACUUAAAGCUUAUCGAAUGUGUACUUAUGGUACUUAAUAUUUUUAGGCAUCAG
rnacentral:lncRNA from 1 species